rnacentral:rRNA from 1 species
UACGUAGGGGGCAAGCGUUGUCCGGAAUCAUUGGGCGUAAAGCGCGUGUAGGCGGCCAGGUAAGUCCGUUCUGAAAGCCCGGGGCUCAACCCCGGGAGGCGGAUGGAUACUGCUUGGCUCGAGUCCGGAAGAGGCGAGUGGAAUUCCCGGUGUAGCGGUGAAGUGCGCAGAUAUCGGGAGGAACACCAAUGGCGAAGGCAGCUCGCUGGGACGGUACUGACGCUGAGACGCGAAAGCGUGGGGAGCAAACAGG